AGCUCCGGUGGCCUAGUCUUUAGAGCAUCUGCUUUAGAUGCGGGAGGUCGCAGGUUCGAACCCCAGCUGAGCCG